UAUACUAUUAAGAGGCUGUCCAAGUAAAUAUCAAGCAAAUCCAAUGAUAUUGGUGGCACAACAUAAUUUUUUUCCCACUGAAUUUUUGGUUCCAAUGCAACGUUUAUAUCAUACAAAGGAUAUAUAUGUCAAAGAUAUUUUUGAAUCAUCAGUGGAUGGCUCAGAAAAUAAUUUUAAAGUUCACUAACAAUGCAACAAAAU
rnacentral:lncRNA from 1 species